rnacentral:rRNA from 1 species
GGAGCCGUAGCGAAAGCGAGUUUUAACUGAGCGUUCAGUUACUUGACGGAGACCCGAAACCGGGCGACCUACCCAUGAGCAGGAUGAAGCGAAAGUAAAAUUUCGUGGAGGUCCGAACCCACGAGCGUUGAAAAGCUCGGGGAGGACUUGUGGGUAGCGGUGAAAUUCCAAUCGAGCCCGGAGAUAGCUGGUUCUCCCCGAAAUAGCUUUAGGGCUAGCCUCAAGGUGAGAGAUACGGAGGUAGAGCACUGAAUGUCCUAGGGGGUAUUGC